rnacentral:lncRNA from 1 species
GUUUUUCUCAGCUCCUCCUAUUUUCAACGCGCGAAUGGCAAAGCGCAACACACACAGACACAGAGCAGAAAAGCUCAGGCAAAAACACAUCUACAGACACACAAUCGUAGGCGCCAGUCACACAUACGGUGGCAGUGGCUGGGGCAGGGGCAGAGGCAGUUGGUUGAAGUGUGAGGGAGGGAAGCAGUGGCAAACGGAAGAGGCAGCGCAGCAGCAGCAGCUUCGACUAUUUUCGUAGCAUACUUUUAGGUGGUGGCUGCAUCUUCGUACAUGGUCGGUCUCCUCUGU